rnacentral:rRNA from 1 species
AAUCAACGCUGGCGGCAUGCCUUACACAUGCAAGUCGAACGGCAGCACGGGAGUAAUCCUGGUGGCGAGUGGCGAACGGGUGAGUAAUAUAUCGGAACGUGCCCAGUCGUGGGGGAUAACGCAGCGAAAGCUGUGCUAAUACCGCAUACGAUCUAAGGAUGAAAGCGGGGGAUCGCAAGACCUCGCGCGAUUGGAGCGGCCGAUAUCAGAUUAGCUAGUUGGUGGGGUAAAGGCCCACCAAGGCGACGAUCUGUAGCUGGUCUGAGAGGACGACCAGCCACACUGGAACUGAGACACGGUCCAGACUCCUACGGGAGGCAGCAGUGGGGAAUUUUGGACAAUGGGCGCAAGCCUGAUCCAGCAAUGCCGCGUGCAGGAUGAAGGCCUUCGGGUUGUAAACUGCUUUUGUACGGAACGAAACGGCCCUUUCUAAUACAGGGGGCCAAUGACGGUACCGUAAGAAUAAGCACCGGCUAACUACGUGCCAGCCGCCGCAGUAAAAC